UCUCUCUCUCUGUGUGUGUGUGUGUGUGUCAGUGCACACGCCACGAUUCCAGCUGAUUUUCUAGGACUGUUCAGCCGACGCGACGCCUCGUUGAGGCUCGUUAAAACGUACGACGAUCGAUCAUAAGCGGCUGGCAUUGCGAGUCUAACAUCCACCAGUGCACCGCAGUAUAGCUUCUGGCUCCGUUUAACUUCAAUGGACAGAAAAUUACAGGAAAGUUCGAGAAACGCGGCUGAUCUAUCACGAAUCUACGAUAAUUGCAGCCGUCAAUCUUCAAAAACCUGUGUCGUCGAAAACUGGUUCUAUAACGAACGUCGCUACUUUGUUGAUAAGAAGACGUUUUUAUGAAAAAUAAAAAUUGUUUGAAACGUUAAUUGCCAGAUUUUAUCGAUGGCGACCGAUGAAGGGGCCGUGCCUGUUCCGACCGGAGAGGAAAACGGCAGACGUUAAAAGGAAAAUUUGUGUUGAAACGAGUAGCGCGCGCCGACGGAAAAUUCGUCGAGCUCCGAGCGGCGGCUCGAAGGGCGUUAGCAAGGUUAAGGUCACUGGCAAGGUCAGGGACUCCGUAGACCCGAUUCUCGUCGAGUGGAGAACGCCGGCCUACGCCUCCAUGUCGAAAGCCUCCCGGUAUUGAUCCCGUUUUCGCCCGGCAAACUCGACCAAUCCCAGCUGGCACAUCGCAUGGUAACCAACACGCUCCGACACAUCUUCCAGAAGAACCGGUGACCCGACUCGACCCGACCCGACCCGACCCGACGCGACCCGUCCCGCGCCGGUUGGCCUCGGGCCUCGCCUGAACCCGACAGAAAAUUUCGUGACAACCGCUAAUUAACGCCGCGAUUACCGGGCCACGUCGUUUACCCUGCCGAAUGAUUUUCUAUCACGCAAUUGUGUCCCCGAAAUUCACUGCUGGCGGCUCAAUCCCGCCGAAUUGUUCGACACCAUCGACGCUCCAUUAAUGUUCCUCCCGGUUAGUUUGCCCGCCAAAUACGCUUACUCGCGAUGCCCGAAACGGUACCGACAAAACAACUCCAUGCGAAAAGUUUACGAAACGUAGAACGAUGGAAAAACACACCGAUAAAUGCAAUUGGCCCGAUGAUUUACUACUCGCGGUCGGCUGAUUUGUUCUUUCGUUAAUCUGAUCCUCGUUUUCUGAACGUAGCUUUCGCGGCGGCUCACGAAAGUGCGCAAUCACCUUUGACCCUUUGCGCUGCGGCUGCCGGGGUCACUUUGAGCCGGAGUACGAAUUUAGAUCGUUCACAUUUUCGGUAAUUAAAUGAAUCGAAUUGCUGGUAUAUUAGGAACGACAGAAAGCAAGAAGCGUCUUCGAAAAUAUAUUUUCGAAAAUCGCUGUAUAUAGGUCAGAAUUGUUACAAGCAUCCUGUAAAAAUGGUCCGCCGUCCGAGGAUUAAAACGAAAUAACAUUUUUUAAAUUGGAUCGAAUAAUUUUCCUUUAGAUGUUAAAAGGACUAGUUCGUUAGACAAUAUCUUGGAAUGACGAUAUUUCUCUCCGACUUUUGCAUUCGAGUCCAGAACGAAAAGUUAAACAAUGCGUUUUGUAGGUGUUGGCGAGUUAUACGCAUACUACAGGCAUUGAACGACGGAAAAUUCGCCGGAUUUCUUACAGUUAUCGGUCGAAACUAUCGCAAAAUCGUAAAAGCUGCGAUUUUCGUAAUUUUUAAUUGUUUGCUCGUUGCAACGUUAACGGAUUUCGACAAUGGAAACAACGAUAUAUCGAGUAGACUAAUAAAUUUUAGAAACUCGUUUAUUAGGAGUUAAGGAUGUGCAAUGAUUUUGGGACUUGAAAGAUUGUAAUAAAGGCUUUUCAAACGCGUAA